UCGCCUGUUUUAUCAAAAACAUGUCUGUAUGAAAUUAAUAUAAAGUCUGGCCUGCCCACUGAAUAUUUUAAAGGGCCGCGGUAAUUUGACCGUGCGAAGGUAGCAUAAUCAAUAGUCUCUUAAUUGGAGGCUGGAAUGAAUGGUCGUACAAGAAGCAGUCUGUCUUUUUUAUAAAUAUUGAAUUUAACUUUUAAGUGAAAAGGCUUAAAUUUUCUGAGGGGACGAUAAGACCCUAUAAAACUUUACAUAAGUUGGUUAAUUUUUAAAUUUAAGUAUAAAAUGAAAAUUAUUUUCACUUUGUUACAUUGGGGCGAUGAAAAUAUAAGUUGUAACUGUUUGUUGGUUGAAAUAAAAAUAUUUAGGUAAGUUGAUCCUUUAUUAUGGAUUAUAAGAAUAAGUUACUUUAGGGAUAACAGCGUGAUUUUUUCUGAGAGUUCUUAUCGACGAAAGUAGUUGCGACCUCGAUGUUGAAUUAAAGUUUCGUCAAGGUGUAGAAGCUUUGAUUUGUGGGUCUGUUCGACCUUUAAAACUUUACAUGAUUUGAGUUCAAACCGGUGUGAGCCAGGUUGGUUUCUAUCUA
rnacentral:rRNA from 1 species